AGUGAACGCUGGCGGUAGGCCUAACACAUGCAAGUCGAACGGCAGCACAGGAGAGCUUGCUCUCUGGGUGGCGAGUGGCGGACGGGUGAGGAAUACAUCGGAAUCUACUCUGUCGUGGGGGAUAACGUAGGGAAACUUACGCUAAUACCGCAUACGACCUACGGGUGAAAGCAGGGGACCUUCGGGCCUUGCGCGAUUGAAUGAGCCGAUGUCGGAUUAGCUAGUUGGCGGGGUAAAGGCCCACCAAGGCGACGAUCCGUAGCUGGUCUGAGAGGAUGAUCAGCCACACUGGAACUGAGAAACGGUCCGGACCCCUACGGGAGGCAGCAGUGGGGAAUAUUGGACAAUGGGCGCAAGCCUGAUCCAGCCAUACCGCGUGGGUGAAGAAGGCCUUCGGGUUGUAAAGCCCUUUUGUUGGGAAAGAAAUCCAGCUGGCUAAUACCCGGUUGGGAUGACGGUACCCAAAGAAUAAGCACCGGCUAACUUCGUGCCAGCCGCCGCCGUAA
rnacentral:rRNA from 1 species